rnacentral:rRNA from 1 species
AUUGAACGCUGGCGGCAUGCCUUACACAUGCAAGUCGAACGGCAGCACGGGGCAACCUGGUGGCGAGUGGCGAACGGGUGAGUAAUGUAUCGGAACGUACCAUUCAGUGGGGGAUAACGUAGCGAAAGUUACGCUAAUACCGCAUAUUCUGUGAGCAGGAAAGCAGGGGAUCGCAAGACCUUGCGCUGAUUGAGCGGCCGAUAUCAGAUUAGCUAGUUGGUGGGGUAAAAGCUCACCAAGGCGACGAUCUGUAGCGGGUCUGAGAGGAUGAUCCGCCACACUGGAACUGAGACACGGUCCAGACUCCUACGGGAGGCAGCAGUGGGGAAUUUUGGACAAUGGGGGCAACCCUGAUCCAGCCAUGCCGCGUGAGUGAAGAAGGCCUUCGGGUUGUAAAGCUCUUUCGGCCGGGAAGAAAUCGCAUGGGUUAAUACCCUGUGUGGAUGACGGUACCGGAAUAAGAAGCACCGGCUAACUACGUG